rnacentral:rRNA from 1 species
UACAGAGGGUGCAAGCGUUAAUCGGAAUUACUGGGCGUAAAGCGUGCGCAGACGGUUGCGUAAGUCAGAUGUGAAAGCCCCGGGCUCAACCUGGGAAUUGCAUUUGAGACUGCGUAGCUAGGGUGCGGAAGAGGGAAGCGGAAUUUCCGGUGUGAGCCGGUGGAAAUGCGUAGAUAUCGUCUGGAACGCCAAGGUGAAAACAGCGCGCUGGGGUUGUGCUGACGCUGAGAACACGAAGCCAGGGGAGCGAACGGG